AGUUCGGACUGCAGGCUGAAACUCGCCUACAUGAAGUCGGAAUUGCUAGUAAUCGCGGAUCAGCAUGCCGCGGUGAAUACGUUCCCGGGCCUUGUACACACCGCCCGUCACACCAUGGGAGUCGGUAACACCCGAAGCCUGUAGUCUAACCGCAAGGAGGACGCAGUCGAAGGUGGGAUUGAUGACUGGGGUGAAGUCGUAACAAGGUACC
rnacentral:rRNA from 1 species